AGAUGACGAACAUGGAAUUGGAAAUUGGUCUACAUCAGAACCAUCAAUAAUUUCGCUAGCAGAUUCAUGGUCAUCAACAGAUGUUACUUAUGAAUCGGAUGCAGACGUGUUACCUCCACUUCUGCGUCUUAAUCAGCCAGCUAUUGAAACCAUUUGGCUAACUGAUUCGGAUUAAUAUGGUUUUUAGGGAGGUAUUUAUUAUUGUUGAAAACAUGAACGUUAGAGAUCACUG